GAAUAGGGGAGCCGGAGGGAAACCGAGUCUUAACCGGGCGUUAAGUUGCAGGGUAUAGACCCGAAACCCGGUGAUCUAGCCAUGGGCAGGUUGAAGGUUGGGUAACACUAACUGGAGGACCGAACCGACUAAUGUUGAAAAAUUAGCGGAUGACCUGUGGCUGGGGGUGAAAGGCCAAUCAAACCGGGAGAUAGCUGGUUCUCCCCGAAAGCUAUUUAGGUAGCGCCUCGUGAAUUCAUCUCCGGGGGUAGAGCACUGUUUCGGCUAGGGGGCCAUCCCGGCUUACCAACCCGAUGCAAACUGCGAAUACCGGAGAAUGUUAUCACGGGAGACACACGGCGGGUGCUAACGUCCGUCGUGAAGAGGGAAACAACCCAGACCGCCAGCUAAGGUCCCAAAGUCAUGGUUAAGUGGGAAACGAUGUGGGAAGGCCCAGACAGCCAGGAUGUUGGCUUAGAAGCAGCCAUCAUUUAAAGAAAGCGUAAUAGCUCACUGGUCGAGUCGGCCUGCGCGGAAGAUGUAACGGGGCUAAACCAUGCACCGAAGCUGCGGCAGCGACGCUGAUGCGUUGUUGGGUAGGGGAGCGUUCUGUAAGCCUGUGAAGGUGGCCUGUGAGGGUUGCUGGAGGUAUCAGAAGUGCGAAUGCUGACAUAAGUAACGAUAAAGCGGGUGAAAAGCCCGCUCGCCGGAAGACCAAGGGUUCCUGUCCAACGUUAAUCGGGGCAGGGUGAGUCGACCCCUAAGGCGAGGCCGAAAGGCGUAGUCGAUGGGAAACGGGUUAAUAUUCCCGUACUUGGUGUUACUGCGAAGGGGGGACGGAGAAGGCUAUGUUGGCCGGGCGACGGUUGUCCCGGUUUAAGCGUGUAGGUGUGUGUUCCAGGUAAAUCCGGUUCACUUUAACACUGAGGCGUGAUGACGAGGCACUACGGUGCUGAAGCAACAAAUGCCCUGCUUCCAGGAAAAGCCUCUAAGCAUCAGGUAACAUCAAAUCGUACCCCAAACCGACACAGGUGGUCAGGUAGAGAAUACCAAGGCGCUUGAGAGAACUCGGGUGAAGGAACUAGGCAAAAUGGUGCCGUAACU
rnacentral:rRNA from 1 species